rnacentral:rRNA from 1 species
GACGGACGCUGGCGGCGCGCCUAAUACAUGCAAGUCGAACGCUUCUUUCCUCCCGAGUGCUUGCACUCAAUUGGAAAGAGGAGUGGCGGACGGGUGAGUAACACGUGGGUAACCUACCCAUCAGAGGGGGAUAACACUUGGAAACAGGUGCUAAUACCGCAUAACAGUUUAUGCCGCAUGGCAUAAGAGUGAAAGGCGCUUUCGGGUGUCGCUGAUGGAUGGACCCGCGGUGCAUUAGCUAGUUGGUGAGGUAACGGCUCACCAAGGCCACGAUGCAUAGCCGACCUGAGAGGGUGAUCGGCCACACUGGGACUGAGACACGGCCCAGACUCCUACGGGAGGCAGCAGUAGGGAAUCUUCGGCAAUGGACGAAAGUCUGACCGAGCAACGCCGCGUGAGUGAAGAAGGUUUUCGGAUCGUAAAACUCUGUUGUUAGAGAAGAACAAGGACGUUAGUAACUGAACGUCCCCUGACGGUAUCUAACCAGAAAGCCACGGCUAACUACGUG